AUGGGGGACCAAAGUGUGCUGGAGCGGAUAGUUAACGGAGACGAGGACCCGAAGGAUCUGCCAUUACCACUGUUACAAAGCAUCACCAAUGAUUUCUCUCAUGAGAGAAAAAUUGGUCAGGGUGGAUUUGGAGAGGUUUACAAGGGUGUACUCACAAACGGGAUUACUGUUGUUGUGAAGAGAAUCAUUAUUACCUUAGCCACAAUUGAUGACAUACUAUUUCGUCGUGAGGUCUAUAGCCUGAUGACCAUCAAUCAUCAAAAUGUAGUCCGGUUUUUUGGCUUCUGUUCUAAUACACAUCAUAAGGCGAUGAAAGAGUCUCGGUCAGGAGAAAUUAACCUUGUCAACGUAAGAGAAAGAUUGCUCUGUUUCGAGUACAUCAGCAAUGGAAGCCUUGAUAAGCAUAUUACUGACGAAUUAAGGGGACUUGAAUGGGAAACACGUUAUGAGAUAAUCACCGGAAUUUGUAAGGGUCUACGUUAUCUUCACGAGGAAAAAAGUAUCAUUCAUCUGGACCUUAAACCAUCAAAUAUAUUACUAGAUGAUCGUAUGGUCCCCAGAAUUAUAGAUUUUGGUUUGGCAAGACCAAGUGAAAACUCACAUGAUAUGGGUCAACAUUUUGGAACACGAGGAUAUAUCGCUCCGGAAUACGAGCAUGAAGGCGAAACUUCAGUGAAGUCUGACAUAUAUAGUUUGGGUGCCAUAAUCAUACAAUUAAUAACGGGGCAUUUCAGUUUCCCUAACAAAAAUAAUGUAAUUCGAAGGUGGAGACACAGGUGGAGUAAGCCACCGACGUUAUUACAAUAUCAGCAGGUAACUAAAUGCAUUGAAAUGGCAGUACGCUGCAGGAAGCAAGAACCGGAAGAUCGACCUUCUAUAUCAGAAAUAAUCAGCAUCCUGACUGAAUCUGAAAGCACGGAUGAGCGCACUGUCCAGAUGAUUCCUUGUUACGUUGAAGAUGACAUGCUUGGUAUUAAGCCGCUUGAACUAAAGCUUCCUUCUGAGCUUAAGGAGGAGAUAUCAUCCUUCACAGUUGAGCUAACCAAUGCUACACGUCAUUGCAUUGCCUUUAACAUCCUACUACAAAACAGACAACAGUACGAAGGGCAACCAGACAAAGGCAUUGUGCAACCAGAAUCCAAGUUUGAUGUGAAGAUAGUGCUGCCACCAUUUGGAGAAAGAUACCAUGCCGACAUGUUCAUCGUGCAGAGCAUGAAAGUGAGUGAUGAUCUUAUUCAUAAGGUUAUCACAGAAAGCAUGUUCCAUGAAGAGGCUGGUAAAGUUGUCGAUGAGGUCAAUUUGAUGGUUGUAUAUGAGCCUACGAAGCCCCAAGAAAAUUUAGAGAGUAGGGAAGACACCAACAUGCCCGCUGAGGAAGCCCCCAUGGGCAAAAGAGAGAGACGGUGUUGA
rnacentral:rRNA from 1 species